rnacentral:rRNA from 1 species
UACGAAGGGGGCUAGCGUUGUUCGGAAUUAUUGGGCGUAAAGAGCUCGUAGGCGGUUUGUCGCGUCUGCUGUGAAAACUCGGGGCUUAACUCCGGGCCUGCAGUGGGUACGGGCAGACUAGAGUGCGGUAGGGGAGACUGGAAUUCCUGGUGUAGCGGUGAAAUGCGCAGAUAUCAGGAGGAACACCGGUGGCGAAGGCGGGUCUCUGGGCCGUAACUGACGCUGAGGAGCGAAAGCGUGGGGAGCGAACAGG